rnacentral:sRNA from 1 species
UUGACAAUCUGACCGUGAAGGCAUACUUUCAGGAGUGAGGGUUGAGCGGGGUUUCCCCCGCCCUGGUAGUCUUAGUAAGCGGGGAAGCUUAUGACUAAGAGCACCACGAUGAUGAUCCACUUCAUCAUGACCCUUUCCUUAUU